UCGGGAAUCUUCCGCAAUGGGCGAAAGCCUGACGGAGCGACGCCGCGUGAGCGAUGAAGGCCUUCGGGUUGUAAAGCUCUGUGGGGAGAGAAGAAUAAGUUCAGGCAAAUACCCUGAAUGAUGACGGUAUCUCCUUAGCAAGCACCGGCUAACUCUGUGCCAGCAGCCGCGGUAAUACGGGGGGAGCAAGCGUUGUUCGGAUUUACUGGGCGUAAAGGGCGCGUAGGCGGCCACCGCAAGUCAAUUGUGAAAUCUCCGGGCUUAACUCGGAAAGGUCAACUGAUACUGCGGGGCUAGAGUGCAGAAGGGGCAACUGGAAUUCUCGGUGUAGCGGUGAAAUGCGUAGAUAUCGAGAGGAACACCUGCGGCGAAGGCGGGUUGCUGGGCUGACACUGACGCUGAGGCGCGAAAGCUAGGGGAGCGAA
rnacentral:rRNA from 1 species